rnacentral:rRNA from 1 species
AUUGAACGCUGGCGGCAGGCCUAACACAUGCAAGUCGAGCGGAUGAAGGGUGCUUGCUCCUGGAUUCAGCGGCGGACGGGUGAGUAAUGCCUAGGAAUCUGCCUGUUAGUUGUGGCUAACGUCCGGAAACGGGCGCUAAUACCGCAUACGUCCUGAGGGAGAAAGUGGGGGAUCUUCGGACCUCACGCUAUCAGAUGAUCCUAGGUCGGAUUAGCUAGUUGGUGGGGUAAAGGCCUACCAAGGCGACGAUCCGUAACUGGUCUGAGAGGAUGAUCAGUCACACUGGAACUGAGACACGGUCCAGACUCCUACGGGAGGCAGCAGUGGGGAAUAUUGGACAAUGGGCGAAAGCCUGAUCCAGCCAUGCCGCGUGUGUGAAGAAGGUCUUCGGAUUGUAAAGCACUUUAAGUUGGGAGGAAGGGCAGUAAGUUAAUACCUUGCUGUUUUGACGUUACCAACAGAAUAAGCACCGGCUAACUUCGUG